rnacentral:rRNA from 1 species
UACAGGGGGUGCAAACGUUGCUCGGAAUCAUUGGGCGUAAAGCGCACGUAGGCGGUUCGUUAUGUCGGAUGUGAAAGCCCUUGGCUUAACCGAGGAAGUGCAUCCGAAACUGGCGAGCUAGAGUACUAAAGAGGAUCGCGGAAUUCCGGUGUAGAGGUGAAAUUCGUAGAUAUCGGAGGAACACCAAUGGCGAAGGCAGCUCGCUGGGACGUACUGACGCUGAGGCGCGAAAGCGUGGGGAGCAAACAGG